rnacentral:rRNA from 1 species
CCGCACGCGCGCUAACACUGACGGGUUCAUCGAGCUAAGCGUUUGUUACCUUGACUGACAGGUCUGGGGAAUCUUUGGAAUGCCCGUCGUGCUGGGGAUAGACCCUUGGAAUUAUGGAUUUGAACGGAGGAAUUCCUAGUAAACGCAAGUCAUCAAGCUUGCAUUGAUUACGU